AUGAACGCUGGCGGCGUGCUUAACACAUGCAAGUCGAACGAGAAGUGGAGACGGAAACCUUCGGGCGGAAGACUUUAUUUCGAGUGGCGGACGGGUGAGUAACGCGUGGGUAACCUGCCUCAUACAGGGGGAUAACAGUUGGAAACGACUGUUAAUACCGCAUAAGACCACAGCACCGCAUGGUGCGGGGGUAAAAACUCCGGUGGUAUGAGAUGGACCCGCGUUCGAUUAGCCAGUUGGCGGGGUAACGGCCCACCAAAGCGACGAUCGAUAGCCGAUCUGAGAGGAUGACCGGCCACAUUGGGACUGAGACACGGCCCAAACUCCUACGGGAGGCAGCAGUGGGGAAUAUUGCACAAUGGGGGAAACCCUGAUGCAGCGACGCCGCGUGAGUGAAGAAGUAUUUCGGUAUGUAAAGCGCUAUCAGCAGGGAAGAAAAUGACGGUACCUGAGUAAGAAGCCCCGGCUAACUACGUG
rnacentral:rRNA from 1 species